AAGUCCAUUAAUUUUAUUCUCCGUUUUUGCCUAAAUCCUUAAGGGUUGUCCCAAAGAUGGUUGGGUCUAGGGCUGAUCCAAGAAGGGGAAACCAUACCCUAAGUCUGUCCAAACCUAAUCUUUUCCAUUUAUUCGCAGAAAUCGCAGCCGUCAAGCCCUAACCUCUUCCCAGAAGCUCUGCUAGGGUUUACUCGAUCUCAAUCAAGUGAGCUCCGUUCAUCCUCUUGAUUCGCGUAGCUAGCCACCUCUCCCUUGUACCGUUGGGUCCCAUUGUCGGAGUUGAAACCCCGGUCUAGCUAGUUCCAAAUGUGGGAACCCGUGGCAGUGGUAAUGACAAUGGGGAUGCUACAGCUUGAUGGUUAAGGACGGGUAUGGGACUCACUAUGAAGUCCUCAGCGAAAGAAGUUUCAUUGUCUAGUUUUAUCUUUCUGUACAAGAAUUUAUGUUGUUAUUGAUACAUUUUGUUUAGGUUAGACAAUGUGGUGCCUUCUUUCUUUUGUUAUGAACAUGGUUGAGAUAUUUUGUACCUUCUUAUCCAAUAUCCGCAUUUUUGAUAUUUAUAUAUGUAUGACACUUUAUUAAAUUGAAUUCACCUUUUA